UUGGCUGGCUGACUGUCACUCUCCCUCUCCGCCAUGGCUACCAGCCCUGCUGCUACAGGAGCUGCUCCCAUGCGCGCGCCCGAUUAGCUCUCUCAGACCUGACGAGCGAAGCGGUCAAACCGGUGGUUGAUAUCUGCGUGGCUUUUCAACGAUAGUGACAACUGAGGAACGCCAAGGGGCUGACACACCGUGGUGGCUUUAUUUCUGCUGGACAGGUCACCUUUUGGAGUCUUUCAUAACCCUGUGCUUCUCACGGGUAUAUGCUGAUCAGACCAUGCUGGUUGGCCUGGAUUACAACCACCGUGUCCACAGUCAAGCCAGGAGAAAAGCUGAUGACACAGUACAGCAAGGUGUACAACAAAAAGUCCAGGAAGUGGAGAUUGUACUCAUUGAAG